AGUCGGAGUCAGCUGAAACCAUCCUCAGAGCAUUUCACAACAUAUCAGCAUGUGCAAACUGGAGCUUCAAAGCAAAUUCUAGGGGUCAAACAUUCAAGGUUGUCCUGUUUUGCCUCAAAGACACUCCAAAUUAGGGCACUCUAGCAUCUUUUUCCCCAAUUGUUAUGAAACUACUGAUAUGACAGCAUAUGCUAUUUCAAUUGCUAGAUUUUUCUUUGGACCUCUCAUUUAAUAAAAAAACCUGUGUAGCCACGGCUCUGUGCCUUGUGGCAUCAAACACAGCAGUGAAGGAUGUGGGUGCUGCCUCUUCCCAAUGGAGAGCUUUGUAUGGACAUCACGGUGAGGAAUCAACAUUUGCUACUGCUCAGGUCCCAACAUAUGCUGAAAGAAAACAGGCAUGAGAGCCGAAGGAUGCAAGCAAGCAAACUUGGUAAACCCGUCUGGUAAGGACACUACACAGGGGGUGAAACAAGGAAGGCAAUAUUUGUGAAAGAAAACAAGAGACAAGAGCAAGUGUUACUGGCAAGGACAGGGAACAAGGCAAAGACAGAGGGUGCCUCACAAGUCUGAGUAUUAACUUGAUGACUCUGAAACUGAUGAGCAGCAUAAUAAAAUACUGUAAUGACUCAAAAAGAGUAGGCGAGAUGGUCAAGCCACUGAUGUAAUAGCAUCAACAAUUUGAAAAGAUUGGGGUGGGGUUGAUUUGAGGAGGUAAAAUCUAAGAAAAGGCUGCACUUGAUAAGACUUAAGAUGAGUAUGGAUAAGAACAGAAAAGAAGGGGCAUAUUUCAGGAAUGUCAUGGAAGAACCUGUCAUGGUUAGGUUAUGUUCAGAGAAAAAAAAGUCCCAAUCUCUUUGUUUUGCUGAAAGAGGGAUUGCAUUUCUAGACAUUAUAGCUCCAAGAAAAACCUUCUAAAUGUAAUCCUAUCUUUACCAAGGGUGUGUCUGAACACAGAUACAUGGCCUUAGUUAGGGUGUGAAUUCACAGGUUGCUUGCUACUCUACAUUAAUUCCCAUAAGAAUUCAUUUAAACUGUAAUUGCAUGAAUACUUUCAACUACCCUAAGACAGUGGUAGCACCAGAAAAAGUUUUAUUCUCACUGUCCCUGUGCUACCAACUCAACAUCAGUGCUCAAAUAUUUGUGCAGGACUGCUGUGAGCUGGAUCAAGGAAUUAAACCAGAUUAAUAUGAACCACUACUUUUGUUAGACCAGUUUCAAAUCUGGGAUGAAUUCCUCAGUCUGAGUCACUUGGUGACCAUACACAUUAUUCCAUUGGCACAAGGGAGAGGGAUGCACAAAGGUGGUGUUCUUUAGGACACAUCCAUAAUGACCUGAACAAUAAAACUGUGCAAAGUCCUGUGCUCCUUUCAGAAGGUGGAGGGAACCACUUUACAGCUGAAAGUCCAUAGAAGGAAGCUGGUGCUCAGCAACCAGCAUGCUGAAAAAUUCACACCUUUGCUUACUGCACAGAAACUUUUUCAUACCAAAAAGCCCUGUAGCAGCAUAGAGGCAAAUAGCAGUCCUAGAAGGACUAUAAACUGCUUUCUUCAGCCUAUUGGGAAGUGAAUUCAAUGUGUGUAAACAUGAAUGAAAUAACUGGUGAGUUCAUGAAAGAGGUGGGUUUUGUAUGAUUAUGCACCACUGUGAUAUUUCAUCUCAGUAGUACCCUCUUACAAGUACUCCUGAAUUAAGUUGAGAUAUUUUAUUACACUAAAACAUGGGUUGGACAGAAAUGGAAACAAUCUUCCUUUUCUUAGAUUUCGCUAUGUUAGAGAUUCCCACACCUUCUGCUUACUAGCUUGUGGUACAAAAUCUCCUGAACUGGGUUAAAGUUUGGUUUGCUCCCUAUAUGGCAGCAUUAAAGCAGCAGCCAGAGCAAUAAAAAUAAUCUCUACUUUUGAAACAGCCAGCAUGCCCGUCUACAGUAAUUGUUAAAAAACAUGCUUGGCUAUGUUUUGCCUAGCCAGACAAGAAAAAUUUCCUUCCUUUGAACUACAGCUUAUGAUUACCCUCCUCUUUCCUUUUCGUGUUUUGUGCUUUUCAUACAGCAGUCAUUCUGCUCAUAUUAUCCAAAGCCAAUUCAUCUGGCAGGUGCCUCUAAGACAAGGAAUCGUCCCCACUUCCAGUAAAAGAAUCACAAUUUUGACCAUGAGGACUCGUACUGGAUAUUUGCACUUAUAUUGUAGGGACCAUACAUCAGCCCCAAUUUCCACACAACUCCUGUAGACACCUGUAUGAAGACCACACUACCAUAGGUAGCAUGUGAUCCUGGAAUGGUGUUUUCAUAAAUGCAGCAGAGAAAAUAGCAACAAAGAUCCUUCAACCUCCCCCUAUCCAGCUCUUAUGCUAAUACUAGCAGUUCAGAUCAAGAUUAAAUUCCAAUUAUAGGUCACUAAAUAACCCACUAAUAAGGUAACUGAUCUAAGACAGCCAGUUGUGGAACAUAUAUGAAGAACUUUUGCUGCAAACAUGUAAAACACAGCAUACGAUAGACUAGCCUCUGGUUUUACUGAUUAUUUUUUGCAAGGACUUAAAAGGAACUGGUAGUUCAAGAAAAAACAGAUUCAGGAGAUACAAUCUUCCUGAGGCUGGAUCACCGUCAGUAUAUUCACAGACGGCCAAGCACAUAUACAGGAGGGACACUGUGUCUGCUAACCUAAUCCCAUGAUAAGUAAACAGGUAAAAUUACUAUAGUGAAGUCUAUUGAUGUUCCUUGUAAAAGACUCAACAGCAUUUGUUGUGAUGGUGCCACGUGAAAUCAUAAGAUGACACACUCAAAAGACAGAGCUUACUGAAACUGAAAUUAGCAUUAACUUCAUUUACUGAAAUCAACAAUCAAUAUUAUAAUAUGCAAUUUGUAUGUGCUUUUUCCCCCCCAAAAGGGGUUUCCUUCCUGUCCAUUGCAAUUCAGUUCUCAAAUUGCUGCUUUUGCUCCUUUUAGUGACUUGACACUGUCAUUUUAUUCCAUGUUCAAGGCUGUUGGCUCACUGCCAUAUAUUCAGAACUCCUAAUAUUCAUGCAUGGAUUAACACAUAAUCUAAAGCGGCCUGGUUAAUUGCUUUUGAUAGGAUCACUUAUGAAUAUGGAGGAAAGGACAUAAGAACUAAUAUGGAGGAAACCUGGCAUUAGCACAUAGGAAGUUCAUGGGAGAAUCUUGAUGCAUGCAUCCCACAGGGAAAGAACGAACGCUGAUAUCGGAAACAAAGUAACUGGAAUAAUAUUCUUUAUUCAAAACCAAACAAAAAUAUCACAUCACCCUUAAAGACAAAAAAAACCCAACCAUCUCCAUCUCCCAGGAUAUCUCACAAGUAACAUUAUUUUUCUCUCACAUGCUUCCUGCUCCCCCAGCAUCCUUCCUCACUGAUUAGCAGAGACUUUAAGAUUGUGGGUAAUUAAUAUCUUUGGCUGUAAAGAAAGGCAGCUGCUGUGAAGUUGGUAAAGCUGCUAGACAGGCUAACAAACAGGAUAGAAGGAGUUUCUUAUCUCUACCUCCAUUUUGCUCCACUGAUAAAAAAUAGACACUAUUAGUACAAUGCAUCAGAGCAGGUUGUCCUGCGCAAUCAAGAGGACAUCCAUACUAUUCCAUAUUAUGUGAGGCAAUACUGGGCAACCAAAGAAGUUGGCACUGGUACGGAACUAUGAACAUACACCAUCAUGUGUCCUGACAUCAGCAAUUUUGAUUUAAAUUGUCUCUAAACUGUGUCUUUAAACUCAGCAACAGCCUGAGUCAGCCUGCCAGCACACAAAUAGGAGCAGCUCUAGACUCAGAGACAAUGCAUCUGCAAGACCAAGAAUGAAGCAAUACUUCUCAUGAUCCAAGUUACUGAACAAGCCAGUAAGAUGCAUUUGUGUAAGUGGCCCCAUCCACAAGUACACUAAUUAUGUUAUUUUAGGGUUAUUUUUAAUUGAGAUUAUUAUAUAAUGUUAAAAUAACUCUACAGGUAUAUUUUGGUUUUGUAUUUUGCAAGCCCACCACAAGACUACUCUUCCCUGUUAUCAGUCUCUUGGGUUAUAUUUCAUAAUUUUUCUUCCUCUGAUCUGGAAUACUAAAAUUCCUAACAGAAGGUAGCAUUAAAUCUAGAAGCUGGAUAAUCUCUGCCAUUAAUAAGCAACCAGUUGCAUAUGUUACCUAAAACUGGUGUGAGAUGGGAAAUUUCAGAAAUACUAUUGUAGCAAUUACUACUUCCUGAUGGGAAGAAGGAAGCUAUACUGGAUCAUGACAGAACACCAAAUGCCAAAGGGCACUCCAGGAAAAGCAUCAAAACCAACCCAGAUGACUUAUAUGAUUCCAUUCAUCUCAGGUAAAUAUUGUUUUAGAAUUAAGGAGUCUAAAACAUGGAUAAGAAAAGAAUUCACAAGUAUUAUUUGAUCUCUAAAAUGGAUUAAGAUUUUUUUGGUAUUAACAAGCAUUUUGUUUUGGUUUUAUGGUUUAGCAGAGGCAGUUCAGCAAGUUACUCUAACGGAAGACCCUGUGCAUCAAUGGUUCCUGCAGAGGAUGGCAGCUUAGUGGAGUGGUGGGGACAGGACUGGACAACCCUGGCCUGCAAGAUUCCAAGCAGAUUGCUGUGCUUAAGGCUACUACUAUGUGCGUCUGUUCUGUUCUAGGUAAAGGAUGUCUAUGGUUUAUAUUAAGUAAGUCUAAAAUCACUAUGAGGACUAGAAACUGCCAGAUAUUAAUAGAUCAGAAGAGGGAAACUUUUAGGAAGGUGCUUCUCUUUUGAGGAUGGAUGUUGUUUACCUACCAAUGCACAAAAGCAAACAUUGUGUGACAUUUAAUUUACAGAUAUACAACCAAACUAACAAGCUGAAGGGGACUGGUGGAAGAUCCACAACUCCACAUUCACGUCAAAAUUGCUUAGUCAGCCUUAAGAGACAAAAGUUUCUGCCAAGUAACUAACCAACAAGUAGACAUAACACUAGUAUUUUACGAUCUUUGUUUCUUAUUUUUAUUUUACUGUUGUAUUAUUAAGUAUUGCAGCAGUGCCUAAAAGAUCCAGUAAUGGAGCAGGGACCUACCAUGUCAGGGACCAAACAAAACCAGAGUAAAGACAGCCCAUAAUAUAAAGAGCUAAUAAUGUAUUCAGUUGAUCUUCACUUCUUGAAGUUUUCAUGUUUUGUUAAAUUCAUUGCUCAAAACUUUGUAACCCUGAUUUGUAAUUUUUAUUUCAUUUUAUGCAAUUAACUUUUUAUUUAGCUCGGAUUCAUGUAUAUUAUUCCCAAAACAUUUAAAAAUCUGUCUUGAUGCAAGACAGAUGUUGAACUGUUACUUGACUGAUUUGCCAAUCAACUUUGUAUGCACAAACUUUUAUGGACAGAAGCAAUUUUACUUCGUUCAGGACCUAAUUGGGGGCGGGGGAGGCAGGCAGUCAUCUAUGGAAAGUAAGUUUCUGUUGACACUGGAUUAUCAGAUGAACUUUUUCAAUACUUUCUUCAGACAGUCCUGAACUAUGGAUAGAGCAGUUUGCAAAGCACUGGGAAAAAUCUUGGAAAAAACAAAGAGCACAGCUAGUGUUUCAAUGAUUUGUCAUCUUUCAUCUGAUCAUUUACAAUAGCAUAAUCAAUAUCCAUUUCCUUCCAUCUGACCUCAAGUUUUAGAUAGGUUUUCCUUUUCUUAUCAUUACAGUGAAGAGAAAGACAAGUCAUAGUUGCAGCAAUCCUAACCUGGUUUGUUAUGUAACAUUUCCAGAGACUUGUGCAACAUCAGCCUUCCCUUCCUAUUCACAACCAUUUUAAACUACCUACCUUCUGCGUUAAGAUGCAUGGUUUCCAGAGGUCCAAUAAAUGCAUAUCGCAUUCCCAAUCCAUCAGACAUCACAAGGUCUAGAUCAGUAGGAGAUAUUACUCCUUCCUAAGUAGCAAAAGUAGAACAGGAAGGAAGAUUUGUGAAUGUUUGGUUUUAAUGCAAAAUUUCCCACUUUUUGUAUAUAAAAAAUAAAAAAGUAAUAGAAACUAAGGCUAGAAAUAGCAGUUAGCUUGCAAACAGGAACACAACCAUUUGCCAGAAACGUCCACCUAUUAUGAAGCCUUCCUGUGGUUCAGUAUAAACACUCAUUCACAUCUCUAAGAUAUGUAAGCACAUGACCAAAAGAGUUUAUACCAAACCCAAGUAACUACACCAGCCCUUUUAAACACAGGAGUUUUGGCUAAAUCUUACACCUCCCUUCAUAUUCUCUUAGUUCUGGAUUUUGGGGCAGAGUCACAAUUGGAAGAACAGGGGUGCAGCAGUGGGUACUACCCCUGAGGUCACCUGCAAACAAGGCUGGGACCAAACACACAGGCAAUGCAGCUGCCACUCCCUCCCACAAAACUUACUGAACAUUCAACCUAUCCAGCCUCAACCUGCCCAGGUUCUCGAGUUCAUUGCCAGCCUCACAUCUCAAAGCUGCCAGGAUAUGGAGUACAGGAAAUUAAGUAUUUCUCCUGUUAAAAGUGGAGCACUGCUGUUCCACCCACAUGGUAGCACUUACAAGAAAGCCAAUGCCCCCAUCAGGUUAGGGCAAGCACAUGAAGGCUUAUAAAAAAAUUAGUUUCGGUUCAUUACCGUACAGAUUUACUUGAGAAGAAUAAUAUUUAUUAUAUGAGGUUGUUUUCCACCUACAAGAAAGAUAGGAAUUAACUAAGACCUGUUCUAACCAAUUCCAUCAGAUAAAGCUUGGUUUCAGGAACUUGUCCUCUUUAUUCCCAGAGACAUAAACACAUUUUCUUCUGGUUAAGAUGAUGGAAGACAUGCUGAACUGCUUCUAAUUUGCCUUCUCACCCUAUCAUGUAGUGCUCUCCCUACUCAGUGCCUCUUUCUCCACAAGCCCCUUUGAGCUGCAGAAUACCAAUAUGUAUACUCAUCUGCUUGUUCAAAGACAGGUCUUUUUUCUGCUAACUUUGCCUCUCACAGGGUCCUGUUUGAAUGCUCCUUUGUAGCAGUGAUCAGCUAGUGUUACGGGCACGCAGAACAGCUCUCCUGACCCGUUAUAGACAUUGACAUCUGAGCUAGAUAUCUAGAGUCUCUCUAUAAUCACUGGGGAAAAAAAAAAGAAGAAAUCAGCAUCAUCCUAAAGCAGGCAUCAAGAAAAGGUAAGAUGAGUUGUGUCCUAAAAGGGCCUAAUUCUCCUCACCGACUGAAAGAUGACCAAGGACCUUGGAUAUCAAUAUCUACAUUGUAAUAAUCCCAUCUUAAGUGAGUUGAAUCCCACCGAGAGUGUCUUCCCUGUGUUCAUCAGCUACAUCUACUGUUACUUUAAAAGAAAAUUAUAAGCCAGGGGCCAACAUAACUUCUACAGCUGGCCACAGACAUCAAAUUUCGUUAUCUCAGGCUUAAACAGAGCCUUUUAUAAGACUCAGCUUCAAGGCUCGAUCUGUUAGUAGGCAUUGCUCCUAUUAAAAAUAAGGCUGGCUGAACCGCUGUUGCAGGUGGCUUUUGAACUCUCUCUCGAAAAGAAAACGCUAACAUAAUUAUCAAGAUCUACCCACCACAUAUGGAACACGCAGCUCUGGUAACAAUUUAGUUAGACAUAAAAUGGCAGGGAUAAGGAAGCAUGAUUUCCUUCAACUUAAAGGUAAGGCAUAGGCAUGGUAAGGUAAUUUGUCGAGAAUUAGACAGGAAGGUCUGUGUAAAGACAGGACUGAAUGCAAGCCUCACAUCUAGACUGCAGAACCAGCAUCAGUAUAACUAACACAGGCAUUAUAUGUUCUGUGAAAGCUUUUCCCCCUGACAUGACAACACAACUUCUCUGAAAAACAGCAGCAGAAUCAACAAAAGCACUUUUCUGUUGGGACUGCUCCAUCCAAACAUAGCAUUAAAUAGUUAAGAGGCUCUUGAAACACUUCAGAAUUUAAUUUUAAAACAAUCUGCAAACUGAUUUUUUUUGUUUAUAUACCAUAGUCCUCAGUUCUGGUACUGACACUUGAAGAUCAGGUGCCCUCAGAAUCAUGAGACGAGUGCUUUGUUCUUGGCCUUUUGACUAUAGCUGCAGUUUUAUGGUUACAGCUGCUAAAAGGCAAAAAUUGCUGCUACCAGAAGGAAAAUAUGACAGAUCCCUCCAGUUGAGGGAUAUGUUAUUCUAUACAUGUGAGCUCAGUUUCUCCUUAUCACAUAGACCCUCUUAGAGAAAAAAGCCUUUUUACUUUUUCUCUUCAGAAAUGAAAAACACAAAUGAGAAACAAGUUACACUGUCUUCCCCUAGGGAAUAACCCUACUCCCACUUCUGUUAAGGAGAUCAUAAGUUGGUGGAAUGAUUCAGCAGGGUGGGUACAAGGUCAGAAAGGUGUCUUCCACAAGGAUUGAUGCAUAUGCUAGGACAAACAAGAAAGUGUUCCAACACAGUUUCAUUAAGUCUAGGUGUGAAACAAUCUUCCCAAGGGGAUUUUUCAUCCUCUUCAUCCUGGGUAAUCCUUCUUGUAAGCCUUCCCCUCAAGGACUUGUCAGAGAGAAUAGGAAGUGUGUUAGAGUUCACCAGAAGCUUUCACAGCCACAGAAUUAAGAUCUUAGUUUAAAAUAAAUUCCACCAAAAUCCUCUGUGACCCCAAUGGCCAGUCAAACUUCAAGAUCUAGACUAGCUCAGGAUCCUUCACACUUCUUAUGACACUACAUAGCACAACUUCAUCUUCCUGGAGAUUUUAAACUCCUGUGAUGCCAAGUAUUAUCCUAAUGCUCCUUUGGCAUUUUAUUAGUGCACCUCACUAUGCAGGGACCCUUCUCUCCUUUCCAAAAACGUGUGGCAGUUCUGCAGUCUCCAACUUUAGGCCCUGACCCAACCUGCCUGGUUUUAAUCAACAGUCUUUACAUCUGUGAGUCACACCCUCAUUGCAACUCCUGUCACUGACUUGGUUUCUAAUCAUAUUAAAUGUGACAUGGCCAAAAAAAACAAUCUUACUUUUUCCUGAUACUACGAAUUCAUCAUGUUCUUCUCACUGUGGUCCAUCUACAGAGUUAUUUUGGACUCCACUCCCUCCUGGGCCAUGUACUUCCUGUCUCCAAAUUUGCCACUUCAUCCUCUGUAUCUCUGAAAUCCAGUAUUUUUUUUUUUUUUGAUUGCUACUAAUAUAUGCAUUCUCUCUCAGCAGCACUUGUUACACCCUUCUCUUCGCUAUCACUUAAAUCAAGUCACUUCGAUCCACACCCUGAUGAGAUCUUUUUCCAGUCCUGUCAUUUUGAGCAUAUGACUUUUCUCCUAGAUCCCUCUACCAGCUCCAUCUCUUUCCAUUUCAUCACAUUUGAGAAACUUGUUGUCCUACACACGUCACACCUACUUACUUUGCUGGUCUUUAUUUUCCUCCUUCCACGGCACCCUUACUCACCUCACGUACUCACUGUAUGAAGCAGUGUCAACAGUAUUUUUCUCCCUGGCCCUUUAAACUUCCUUUUAUGAUACCCCCCUAGUCCGAGUCACUGGAACUAGAUGUUUAACUCUCUAUUAAUCCUCUACCUUAUCUUUGCUCUUUUGGAAAGGUCCUCUGGAUAACACUAUAAUACAAUUACUAAUAAGAAAUUCGGAAUUAAAAAAAUCUUGCCAGCAUUUAAGGACUGCCAAGCUAGUCACCUGAGAAGGGAUAGGUACAGGUAUUAGGGACUGAAGCCAAUGCACCUGACUGCUGUGAAAGUGAACUAAAAUGAACAUACAGCCAAACCUUGACUGUUUAUUUUCCAAAAGAUUUACAAGAAUGGCAGGAUUGCCCCUUCUUCUUGUCUUUUACAAGUACUAUAACCUAAAAGAAACCCCACUUUUAAAGAAAACAUACAUUAAGACAGCAUCAAAAGCUUAUACAGAGGAAAAUACAGACUCUAAAGACACGAUCCACCACGGAAAAUAGUUUUAGCAGGUUCUUAAAAGGAGCUGAAACUCAAAUUAGAUCAGGGCUGAAAAACUGCCAUGUUACCCUCGCUAUUUCUGCUGCUGUAUUUCACGACCUCCUUGUGAUUCCAGGUGAUGCUUAGAAAGGUAUUUCACCAACAUAAGCUUUCACUCAGUAAUCCACAGUAAAAGGACAGUCCUAGAUGUUCAGAGUAAGGUUCGAGACUUCUGAUCUAAAGCAUUGGUGAAACUGUUUGAUUUUUAUUUUCUGGAUGAAGUCAACCAAAACUUUACCUUCAGAACAAGACAAAGAAACUAUUUAACUAACUCUUUUGCAACAGUAAUUGUGUCAGCAGUGCACAGGGUGCUUCCCAGGCAAAUGAAAGUAGUAAGUCUCUGCUCGAAGGAGUUACGAACAAAAUCAGAUGUACCAGUGACCACUGUCAAUGGAGGCAUGAGAAAGUAAAUAAAUGGUAACAGGGAAUAACAGAGAAAGCUGUUUGAGAUAUUUUUCCUAUUCCUGGCUACAGAUUAUUCUAACAGUUCCAAAUUUAUAAGAUCAAAAUUUAGGGUUGAGAAGAAUGGAAUAAAGAUCUUCAACCUCAACAACUCACAGUACAUUUUUUACUGUCAUCAUAACCAGCUUUGCAACCCUUCUAACAGAGGCCUAAGAAUUAACAUAAAUAAGAAACCUACAAGAACAUCAAUCACACACAUGCUAUGUGGUCCUACAGAAAGUUUUCAGACGUGACCUUAAAGAGACAGACCAGAGUGUUCCCAGCACCUGCAUUUUCAUGGAAUAAAUGUGGAGCAUGGGGAGACAAAGAUAACUGAUGCCAAAAGUUCCUGCAUUGCCCAAGUGCUCAUGACUUGGAAAUAAAAACAAUGUUCAAAAAGACAUCUUGUCACACAAAAGACUAACUUGGAUCCACACCAAAACAUCUCAUUGUAGCACUCCUGCCUCAAAGGGAAGCUCUUGUUUGAGUUCCUUCUUUUAGGCCUAUAAAUCAAUCUAUGGUCUUUGCUUCUAAGUUCUUGUAAAGUCAAAUUUCUGCAUCCUUAAAUCCACAUUCCUAAUUAUCCACAUGGCCAAAGUUCUCAGCAUUGUACAAUCUGUCCCAUGCCUCACCCAUCACACAGCACAGUGCAGCACUGCUAAAGAAAAGGGAGAGCCUGGCAGGUUUUCAGUUGCCGAGCUGCAUUUAGGAACUAAAACGUAUCACACAAGCUGCACAGUCCAUUUGUGAUAGUUUUCCAGAUAAAUGUUGUUAGCGCAGCUGCACCUGCAUGUCUGUCUCACCAUCAAUGCCUUUUUUAACAGUACACUAAUACUUUUACCGGAGAAGCUUCCCUUAGUUUCUUGAAUGAAAUAGGCUCAACUGACAGAAAAAAAAAAGAGAUGGUCCAUGCCAAGGUGUCUGAACUUGGACUUUGAUAAAGGUAUAUGUGCACGUGUGCAUGUAUAAGGUCUUUCCCCUGCCGUUACUAUAAAUAUUUUUGAGGAAAGGAUGCAGAUGAGAACUUUCAAGCUUGUAUCUCAGCAAAGUCCUCAAAAAACAGACAGUUGUUUACCUAAAAGAUGCUUAUUUAAGAUCAUUUCAAGUGGCUUCAAAACAGUUGGAGACUGCUGCUAUGUUUCUCUCCUGGUUCUCAUGCAGCAUUUAUAUCUGGAAUAUUUAUGUCCUUGUUAUGUGGUAAAGAACUGAUACACUGCAGUGCAAAUACAACAGUCCUCCAGCAACACCACAGAUUUUUUUCAAGCACUUGCCAUGUUAAAAUUAAAGGAAAUUUAUAACAGAAAUAAAAGCACUGAUCAAUUUAUGACAUGUAACUGUAAGCAAAGGUAUUUGUUCAGACCUUUACAACCACUAAUAAAACAAAUAAGCUUGAAAUUA